rnacentral:rRNA from 1 species
GACGAACGCUGGCGGCGUGCCUAAUACAUGCAAGUCGAACGCUGAAGGAGGAGCUUGCUUCUCUGGAUGAGUUGCGAACGGGUGAGUAACGCGUAGGUAACCUGCCUGGUAGCGGGGGAUAACUAUUGGAAACGAUAGCUAAUACCGCAUAAUAGUAGAUGUUGCAUGACAUUUGCCUAAAAGGUGCAAUUGCAUCACUACCAGAUGGACCUGCGUUGUAUUAGGUAGUUGGUGCGGUAACGGCUGACCAAGGCGAGGAUCCAUAGCCGACCUGAGAGGGUGGGAGGCCACCCUGGGACGGGGACACGGCCCAGACUCAUAGGGGAGGGGGCAGUAGGGAAUCGGGGGCAAGGGACGGAAGUCUGACCGAGCGAGGCCGAGGGAGGGAAGAAGGUUGUCGGGUCGUGAAGCUCGGUUGUAAGAGAAGAACGAGUGUGAGAGUGGAAAGUUCACACUGUGACGGUAUCGUAUCAGAAAGCGACGGCUAACUACGUG